rfam:Candidatus Thorarchaeota archaeon AB_25 ThorAB25_contig000027, whole genome shotgun sequence.
GAUGGCGGCCAUAGGCGCCGGGGUUCACCUGAACUCAGCCGAACUCAGAAGUUAAGCCCGGUGUCGUUAUGGGAAAUGUGCACUGCGCGAGCGUGUGACAAGCCCAUGAGCUGCCACAU